rnacentral:rRNA from 1 species
UACGUAGGGUGCGAGCGUUAAUCGGAAUUACUGGGCGUAAAGCGUGCGCAGGCUGUUCUGUAAGUCAGAUGUGAAAUCCCCGAGCUCAACUUGGGAACUGCGUUUGAAACUACAGGACUAGAAUAUGUCAGAGGGGGGUAGAAUUCCACGUGUAGCAGUGAAAUGCGUAGAGAUGUGGAGGAAUACCAAUGGCGAAGGCAGCCCCCUGGGAUAAUAUUGACGCUCAUGCACGAAAGCGUGGGGAGCAAGCAGG